rnacentral:rRNA from 1 species
UACGUAGGGUGCAAGCGUUGUCCGGAAUUAUUGGGCGUAAAGAGCUCGUAGGCGGCUUGUUGCGUCGACCGUGAAAACCCGUGGCUCAACUGCGGGCUUGCGGUCGAUACGGGCGGGCUAGAGUUCGGUAGGGGAGACUGGAAUUCCUGGUGUAGCGGUGAAAUGCGCAGAUAUCAGGAGGAACACCGGUGGCGAAGGCGGGUCUCUGGGCCGAUACUGACGCUGAGACGCGAAAGCGUGGGGAGCAAACAGG